rnacentral:rRNA from 1 species
GAGGCUUGACCAUAUAACACCCAAGCAAUUUGCGCGUAAGCCGAAUUGUGGUGGUGAAGACGAAAGACCCGAAAGUUCGCAACAUCACAAAUAUCGCAUAUCCGAAUUGGCCACGAGUGUUCACGGACAUUCUGGCAACAGAAUUUCUUGACGACCAUAGAGCAUUGGAACCACCUGAUCCCAUCCCGAACUCAGUAGUGAAACGAUGCAUCGCCGAUGGUAGUGUGGGGUUUCCCCAUGUGAGAGUAGGUCAUCGUCAAGA